GGGCCCAUAGCUCAGUGGUAGAGCAGGAGACUCAUAAUCUCUUGGUCGUAGGUUCGAACCCUCCUGGGCCCA
rnacentral:tRNA from 1 species